UACAGAGGGUGCGAGCUUUAAUCGGAAUUACUGGGCGUAAAGCGCGCGUAGGCGGCUUUGCAAGUCGAGUGUGAAAUCCCCGGGCUUAACCCGGGAACUGCAUUCGAGACUGCAUAGCUAGAGUAUGGGAGAGGGAAGUGGAAUUUCAGGUGUAGCGGUGAAAUGCGUAGAUAUCUGAAGGAACAUCAGUGGCGAAAGCGACUUCCUGGACCAAUACUGACGCUCAUGUGCGAAAGCGUGGGGAGCAAACAGG
rnacentral:rRNA from 1 species